rnacentral:rRNA from 1 species
GACGAACGCUGGCGGCGUGCUUAACACAUGCAAGUCGAACGAAGUGGCGAACGGGUGAAUAACGCGUAAUCAACCUGCCCUUCAGAGGGGGACAACAGUUGGAAACGACUACUAAUACCGCAUACUGAAGGAGGGGAUUGCGUCUGUUUAGCUCGUUGGGGGGGUAACGGCCCACCAGGGCGAUGAUCAGUAGCCGGUCUGGGAGGAUGAACGGCCAACUUGGGAAUGAGACACGGCUCAGACUCCUACGGGAGGCAGCAGUGGGGAAUCUUUCGAAAUGGACGAAAGUCUGGCGGAGCAACGCCGAGUGAGUGAUGACGGCCUUCGGGUUGUAAAGCUCUGUUAAUCGGGACGCGGUACCGGAAUAGAAAGCCACGGCUAACUACGUGCCAGCAGCCGCGGUAAUAC